rnacentral:lncRNA from 1 species
CCACCUUCACUAUAAUUUCCAAGAAUCUCAUCAGCGAACAACUGAAUAUUCUGGUCCGACGAACCGCCUCCGGCCACCGCCUGCCUUGCCGCAUGCUUCAAUUCCACUGCAUUUUUCUUGUAAUACUCCGAUUUCGGUCCAUUAAUAAUUUCUUCAACACAUUUCUCCAACUCCUCGUUGCCAACGAAGCCAUCUUCACUGGGCCUAAGCCUUAGACCUAUCUUGAAAACAUCGGCAACGAGUUUAGCAUUUGUUGGCUGAUCGCUCCAUUGAGGGUAUGCAAUCACUGGCACGCCGGCGACGAUUGUUUCCAGCAACGAACUCCAACCACAAUGAGUCACAAAACAGGCAAGAGCAGGAUGAGCUAACACUUUAGUUUGAGGACACCAUGAUACCACAAGGCCUCGGUUUUUAGUUUCUUCAAGAAACCAUAACGGCAAAGUACCCUCACCAUCAGAAGAAGCAGAUUCUGAUUGCUUAACAAUCCACAAAAAUGGAAGCUUAAUGUUCUUCAAA